rnacentral:sRNA from 1 species
AUCAAAUGAUCGUCGAUUAAGUUCGCAACGUCCUGUUGCAACAUCGACAUCAGCACAUCCAUGUGCA